AAUAUUGGACAAUGGUCGGGAGAUUGAUCCAGCCAUGCCGCGUGCAGGAUGACUGCCCUAUGGGUUGUAAACUGCUUUUAUACGUGAAGAAACCUAUUUACGAGUAGAUAGCUGACGGUACCGUAAGAAUAAGGACCGGCUAACUCCGUGCCAGCAGCCGCGGUAAUACGGAGGGUCCGAGCGUUAUCCGGAAUCAUUGGGUUUAAAGGGUCCGUAGGCGGGCCGUUAAGUCAGGGGUGAAAGUCUGCGGCUCAACCGUAGAAUUGCCUUUGAUACUGGCGAUCUUGAGUCGUUGUGGAGUUGCCGGAACAUGUGGUGUAGCGGUGAAAUGCAUAGAUAUUACAUAGAACACCGAUUGCGAAGGCAGGUCACUAACCAUAUACUGACGCUGAUGGACGAAAGCGUGGGGAGCGAACUGGAUUAGAUACCCUGGUAGUCCACGCCGUA
rnacentral:rRNA from 1 species